UUCAGAAAUAGAAAUACAAGAGAAGUUGAAUAGCUUUCCCUGACCUGUUGUGAAAUAUUUCAGAUUUGCUGAACAUCAGCAUAGGACUUUGUCAAGAGCCAGAAUACCACUGAACUAACUCCUGUAUAAACACAGAUUAAGAGGCCAGCCAUUGCCCUGGACCAUUUACAAAGCAUUGUGAAAGAAGAGUUUACAUCAGCAUUUGGAAUAAGGAUAAUGAGGUUAUUUGAUGUUACCAGAGAGCUGCUCCCAGAGAUGGUGGCUGGAACAGAACACAAACAGAACUGAAAAUCAAUGAACAGCUGAAUCUGGAAGCAGCAUUUGUGCAGCUCAUAGCAAUGUGAUACAGAUCUUGCCACCUCACAGCCAGAUGAGAUGGAAGUGGACAUAGCAAGCCACAGUUGAUAUCUAAAUAUCCAUGGGUACUAUGGACCUCGGAACACUAAAACUACAGUCCAGCUUAGCUGGUGGAUAACGAUCUGCUUUUGGCUGUUAUGAACACCCAUGGAAACAAUUUUCUCAGUGCACCUGUUGGGGGGAGAAACAAGGCUUCUUCAACCAUCAAUCUGUGGGACCUCAGAGCUCAGCCUGAAAGCAAAGGUGAAACGAAAUACGAAAAUUGCAGUGCAGCAGAAGAGGAGUCAGCUGUCUGAGGGCCUCUGCUGAAAUCCCAUCUUUCGGUAUUUGAUUCCCAAAGGAGGAUCCCCACCCUCCCUUUGCCCAGGCACAUCUCAGGUUCAGCAGUCCAUGUGCAGAAGUGAGGCGCCAGGUCAAAAUGCUGCUGACAUCAGUAGCUGGAAUAAAGCCUGCAGGACACAUCACACAGGCUGGGAAAGGCCACAAGCAUCAACAGGAACACUCUGGCUGGAGAUAAGUGGUGGUUUCAGUUUUUAUGUUGCUCUGAAGAGCAGGCACAGUGGAGGGAAGGGAGGUUGCUCCUGGCUUUGCUGUUGAACAGUGUGUUGGUUUUCUUGUAACCUGCAUCUGCGUCCAGCACCAUCGAGGUGGGCAAGAGCAGACUGGUGAAGGAGUCUGCACUCACUCCCAGUGGUAGUCCAGAAACUUCCAUGUCCUCCCAUCUGUCCAUCCAUUUCCUCUUUCCAGCCCACCCCUGGGCUUUCAUGGGUCACUGGUAUAAAUGGGGACUAAUCUGCCCCAGUGCAGAUGAAUCUGCAGGGACUUUUCUGUGGUGAAUAUAUUGUUUGGUUUGUUGUGGGUUUGUGGUGGGUUUUUUUUUUCUUUAAAUGGAAUAAGAAUGGAAAACAAGAAAGUCAAAAAGCCCUGAAUCUUUACCUUUUUUUAAGUGGAGACACCACCACAGCAGGACAUAAUGGCUUGCUGUGGUGGUGGUGCUUUGCCUGAGAGCCUGGAGAUUUAUGUAAUGAGAAACACAAUUCCUGCAAAGAACAUUGUUAAAUCUUUUCAAAAUUUCAGCUAUAAGCCAUUUUAUUGCUAAUAAUAUGGCUAGAUUCUUCUUUUGAAGAAUCUGGGAAUGUUUGACAAGUGGGGAAAAUGGAGAGGACUUGAGGCACCAUAAUCUGUAUUUUCCAUUUACCUUGCUUGAAGCUUGAACAACACAUGUGCCACAAAUGAUUUGUUUAUUCCUAAGCGCCCCCAAGGAGCCCAGUCUCCAUUCUCAGGCAUAUAAUGGCUAUUCAAAUGAAAGCUUUAAUAGGUUGUUGCAGAUCUGAUACCAAUGCAGCAAGAGAAAGAGAUAUGCAAAUAUUCGAAAUUAAACAAACUAGCUCCUGCCCUUUGCCUUUGGAGGUGCAGUUUCAAAUCUGGAUGGUGUCACCAAUGCAAUGAAUUUGCUGGACUCAGCUCUCUGGAGAACUAGUUCCUUUUUCACCUUUUUUUUUUCCCCCCACUUUGCCUCACAAAGCUUUCACAUUGUUUGAAAUAUUUUCUGUCUGUAGCACUCACGAGGAAGGAGAGCCCCAACCGGGGCUGAAAUACAUGACGUGUUCAAAUUUGAGACUAAGGAACAUUGCUGGGAGAAGCUCCUGCUGGGCUGGUUCAUUCCACAUCUUCUUAAAUCAAGGCCCUUAACCUCAAUGCCUUCUCCUGGGCAUUUCCCCAUGCUGUAGAAACAAUUUUGGAAGAGUGACACAGACAAAAGUCCAAUUAGGGGUUUCUGUCCACACUGCAAGAAAAAUCAGAGGCUUCACUGGUUCUUAACACAGCCCCUGCUCCUCUUUUGCUCCAUGUAAUGUGUGUGUGAGCCAGGCCCAAAAAUCACUUCAAAAAUGUAAAAAUAACAUGUCAUCCACCUAACCACUGAAACCGUGCCAGCAGCUACCGAGUGCGUUGAACAGCAGGCAAAAAUAAUAAUUUUACAUCAAAAACACCAUAAAAGUUUUCAGUGUCUUCCAGGCUCUUGUAAAACUGCUAUUAUCUUGUCCAACCCCCAAGGCUUUUUGUACAAUUAUCAAUUCUGCUGUGUGGAUUUCAGAAAAGGCAGUGCCUGGAACACGGGUGAAUCGCACGGACGGCAGCGGAAGCGCCGGCUCUGCAGGACAUUCACACACACCUCGGCUCUGCUGCCAGCUCCUGGCUCAGGGGCAGAAUCCCUGGAGCAUCCCUGCAUCUCUGUUGCCCUCCCAUCUUCUAUGCCUGAUCACAAGGGCUUUGGAGCAAAGCUUGUUCCAUCAGUACUGCUGGUGGACCAAACUUUACCAACCAUGACGAGGGGCACUCAGCCUAAAAUAUCUCCAGAUACCUGCAAACAUAUAGAAACCCCCUGAGUUCCAGUGUGAGCAAUGAGAAAUGAAGAACCAAUGCUUUGGCUGGGGCAUGUGGACAAUCUCCUGGCUGUAAUAGACACCCCAAUCUUCAGAAAUUGAGAUUACCAAUUCUGGUCCUAUUUAAGACUGGGAAGAAAAUGCAAAUUUCUGAAAUGUUUGCAAGGUUGGAAAACAGCUUUCCACUAAGCUCUCCUCAGAUGAGAUUGCAGAAAUUCUUCUGUUUUCUUCUUCCUCCCUGGCUCUGUUACCAAGCAAUUCUGUCCACACUGUUCUCCAAGACAAAAUCUGAGCCAGACUGAGAUUUGUGUUGAUGGGCUUACUGAAGUCACCGGCGAUGUCACAAAAGGCCAAAAUUGAUUGUAUAGUUUCUUUUUCAAUCUUCACAAACUACUUGAAUGAUCCAGACAUAUUCCUGCAGAAAAUACAGGGGAGGAGAAUAAUGCAUGUGGCAGCCUUAGCUUGGGACAUCGAUGAACUGUUCAAAUCUUGAAGGUGACCUGACUCUGACCCUUUUAGCGACUAAAGCAUUUCUUUUACAUUUCUGUCUUCAUUCUCAGCUGGCUUUGGAAGAAUGGCUCAAAGAUAUGGGGAAAUGGUAAAGACAAAAUUCCCAACUAAAGCAAAGGAAUCCUGAAAAUCUUACUAUAGAAGCUGUAAUUUGGGCAAUUGUCUCCUGACUGCUUUUGCUAAUGGAGCACAUUAGCUCUGUCUUGGAAAAGGAGUCACAAUUCCAGGCCUUGAGCUGCUGAGCUUCUCUUC